AGAUUGAACGCUGGCGGCAGGCCUAACACAUGCAAGUCGAGCGGUAGAGAGGUGCUUGCAUCUCUUGAGAGCGGCGGACGGGUGAGUAAUGCCUAGGAAUCUGCCUAGUGGUGGGGGAUAACGUUCGGAAACGGACGCUAAUACCGCAUACGUCCUACGGGAGAAAGCGGGGGACCUUCGGGCCUCGCGCCAUUAGAUGAGCCUAGAUCGGAUUAGCUAGUUGGUGAGGUAAUGGCUCACCAAGGCGACGAUCCGUAACUGGUCUGAGAGGAUGAUCAGUCACACUGGAACUGAGACACGGUCCAGACUCCUACGGGAGCAGCAGUGGGGAAUAGUUGGAACAACUGGGGA
rnacentral:rRNA from 1 species